rnacentral:rRNA from 1 species
CCUGGCUUAGGAUGAACGCUAGCUACAGGCUUAACACAUGCAAGUCGAGGGGCAGCAUUGGGAUAGCUUGCUAUCCAGAUGGCGACCGGCGCACGGGUGAGUAACGCGUAUCCAACCUUCCCUAUAGUAGAGAAUAGCCCGGCGAAAGUCGGAUUAAUGCUCUAUGUUGUGUUUUGAGGACAUCUGACGAACACCAAAGGUUCACCGCUAUAGGAUGGGGAUGCGUCUGAUUAGCUUGUUGGCGGGGUAACGGCCCACCAAGGCGACGAUCAGUAGGGGUUCUGAGAGGAAGGUCCCCCACAUUGGUACUGAGACACGGACCAAACUCCUACGGGAGGCAGCAGUGAGGAAUAUUGGUCAAUGGGCGAGAGCCUGAACCAGCCAAGUAGCGUGCAGGAUUGACUGCCCUAUGGGUUGUAAACUGCUUUUAUCAGGGAAUAAAGUGCGGCACGUGUGCCGUUUUGUAUGUACCUGAUGAAUAAGGACCGGCUAAUUCCGUGCCAGCAGCUGC